rnacentral:rRNA from 1 species
CGCGGCCUAUCAGCUUGUUGGUGAGGUAACGGCUCACCAAGGCGACGACGGGUAGCCGGCCUGAGAGGGUGACCGGCCACACUGGGACUGAGACACGGCCCAGACUCCUACGGGAGGCAGCAGUGGGGAAUAUUGCACAAUGGGCGCAAGCCUGAUGCAGCGACGCCGCGUGAGGGAUGACGGCCUUCGGGUUGUAAACCUCUUUCAGCAGGGGAGAAGCGAAAGUGACGGUACCUGCAGAAGAAGCGCCGGCUAACUACGUGCCAGCAGCCGCGGUAAUACGUGGGGUGCAAGCGUUAUCCGGAAUUAUUGGGCGUAAAGAGCUUGUAGGCGGUUUGUCGCGUCUGCUGUGAAAGCCCGGGGCUUAACCCCGGGUUUGCAGUGGGUACGGGCAGACUAGAGUGCAGUAGGGGAGACUGGAAUUCCUGGCGUAGCGGUGAAAUGCGCAGAUAUCAGGAGGAACACCAAUGGCGAAGGCAGGUCUCUGGGCUGUAACUGACGCUGAGAAGCGAAAGCAUGGGGAGCGAACAGGAUUAGAUACCCUGGUAGUCCAUGCCGUAAACGUUGGGCACUAGGUGUGGGGAACAUUCCACGUUUUCCGCGCCGUAGCUAACGCAUUAAGUGCCCCGCCUGGGGAGUACGG